UUGCAAGCUUUGCCCUACAGGCCAAACAGUCUUCUCUUAGGGCUGUCAACUCCCAAACUCAGGUUCUAACCCUAAUGAACAGAAAAUUAAGUCAACAGGCAUAUAGCAUGUGCUGUGAUGUCCAAGGCACUGUCUAAGGUCCACACCAAGAGAAGACUAAAAGGCCUUGCCCCUGAAGGAGCUCACCAUGCAAACAAUCAUGAACCCCAAUCCUCAACUCUCCUAACCAGCCAAGACUGAGAGGAAGAGGACAGACUCAGAUGUUAAGAUGCAACAGGAGCUGGAAUAAAGCAUAGAUAGGGAAGUUAAUGAAGCUACUGAUAAGCUUGUAUCUAGAUCUUGAAGGACUUCUCCAAUAGCAUCUACAAACGAAUCCUCAAGAAUGUUAAAUCAG